UACGUAGGGUGCAAGCGUUGUCCGGAAUUAUUGGGCGUAAAGAGCUUGUAGGCGGUUUGUCGCGUCUGCUGUGAAAUUUCGGGGCUCAACCCCGAACUUGCAGUGGGUACGGGCAGACUAGAGUGUGGUAGGGGAGACUGGAAUUCCUGGUGUAGCGGUGAAAUGCGCAGAUAUCAGGAGGAACACCUGUGGCGAAGGCGGCCCCCUGGUUGGAUACUGACGCUGAUACGCGAAAGCGUGGGGAGCAAACAGG
rnacentral:rRNA from 1 species